CCCCGUUGGGAGCUGCCUGCCCUGGAGUUCCUUGUCAAGGUCCUCGACUAUCUGGAUGGGAGAGAAUGUCACGGCAGUGUCCAGCAGAUCCUGUCAAGGCACCUGCAGAGCCAGUGCCCAGAGAGACGUCGCCUGGCUCUCAGAGGCCGCAUGGUGCUCUGGAUGGAUCUGUCAAUGGCCGAAAGCAUCUGCAGGCUGUCUCAGCACCUCCUGGAGCUGCUGCCUGAUGCAGAUGGAGACGUGAUGGUUGU